UACGGAGGGUGCAAGCGUUAUCCGGAUUCACUGGGUUUAAAGGGUGCGUAGGUGGGCUGGUAAGUCAGUGGUGAAAUCUCCAGGCUUAACUUGGAAACUGCCAUUGAUACUAUCAGUCUUGAAUACCGUGGAGGUCAGCGGAAUAUGUCAUGUAGCGGUGAAAUGCUUAGAUAUGACAUAGAACACCAAUUGCGAAGGCAGCUCGCUAAACAGACAUUGACGCUGAGGCACGAAAGCGUGGGGAUCAAACAGG
rnacentral:rRNA from 1 species